rnacentral:rRNA from 1 species
ACGGGAGGCAGCAGUGGGGGAUAUUGCACAAUGGGCGAAGGCCUGAUGCAGCGACGCCGCGUGAGGGAAGACGGUUUUCGGAUUGUAAACCUCUGUCUUCGGGGACGAAAAUGACGGUACCCGAGGAGGAAGCCACGGCUAACUACGUGCCAGCAGCCGCGGUAAUACGUAGGUGGCAAGCGUUGUCCGGAAUUACUGGGUGUAAAGGGAGAGUAGGCGGGACUGCAAGUCCGUUGUUAAAUCUAUCGGCUCAACCGAUAGCUGCGGCGGAAACUGUAGUUCUUGAGUGAAGUAGAGGCAGGCGGAAUUCCUAGUGUAGCGGUGAAAUGCGUAGAUAUUAGGAGGAACACCAGUGGCGAAGGCGGCCUGCUGGGCUUUAACUGACGCUGAGGCUCGAAAGUGUGGGGAGCAAACAGGAUUAGAUACCCUGGUA